rnacentral:rRNA from 1 species
UACGUAGGGUGCGAGCGUUAAUCGGAAUUACUGGGCGUAAAGCGUGCGCAGGCGGUUUUGUAAGCCAGAUGUGAAAGCCCCGGGCUCAACCUGGGAAUGGCAUUUGGGACUGCAAGGCUGGAGUUUGGCAGAGGAGACUGGAAUUCCUGGUGUAGCAGUGAAAUGCGUAGAUAUUGGGAGGAACACCAGUGGCGAAGGCGGCUCACUGGACCGGAACUGACGCUGAGGCGCGAAAGCGUGGGGAGCAAACAGG